GUAAGGAAGUAGUAGCUGUGUGAUCGUUUGGUGGGAACUCCAGGCCAGUACCAAAAUACCAUUAUAUUUGAGAAGAAAAAUAAAGAGAAGUUCUGAAAACUGAAUAGAACUCUCUCUGCUUGAAUCUAUUGGCAGCCAAUACUCCAGGAAGCUGAUUUGCUGGUCCAGAAGGUGUUCCUAUUGGCUGUACCCAAUAAAAAAACAAGAAGGAGCAGACCCACUGAUAAAGUGCAUAGACAUAUGCAAGCAAGGAGCAGAUGGAAAAUGGAUUUGAAGGAUCAAGGAGAAGAUUUCUAGCAUCCUCAGUUUCCUGCUGUGCAUAGGACACACAAUAUGACCAGAACAAGAGGCAGAUGAUAGUUUUAUGAGAGAGAGAAAAAUAAAUGCCUGUAUUUUUCAAAUCUUCUUUAUCUUCUAACAUUAUGUACUUCAAUAUUCAGGCAGGAAAAUGAGUUAUCUGUAUUUCCUACCUCCUUAUUUCUCUACCAGACGGAGCGAUACUUAGCAGUUAGUCAGUUUCUUGUGUAUGGCAACAGUGCUGUCAAGUACCUUCCCGUACAUUAUGGCAGCUAUUAUAUUUUGGAGGAACUGUUCAACAGCCAGCAACGGAGGCUUAGGAGUUAGUUACACCAAUGUUCCAUAACUGUAAAUCUAGGUGCAGAUCCAGGGAGCAUAGUUUAAACCCUAGAUUAUAACACCGAUGCUACCUUGCAGUCAAUUAAAUUGCCCAAACCACA